UACGUAGGGUGCGAGCGUUGUCCGGAAUUACUGGGCGUAAAGAGCUCGUAGGUGGUUUGUCGCGUUGUUCGUGAAAACCGGGGGCUUAACCCUCGGCGUGCGGGCGAUACGGGCAGACUUGAGUACUGCAGAGGAGACUGGAAUUCCUGGUGUAGCGGUGAAAUGCGCAGAUAUCAGGAGGAACACCGGUGGCGAAGGCGGGUCUCUGGGCCGAUACUGACGCUGAGGAGCGAAAGCGUGGGGAGCGAACAGG
rnacentral:rRNA from 1 species